rnacentral:rRNA from 1 species
CAGCACCUCAAGUGGUCAGGAUGAUUAUUGGGCCUAAAGCAUCCGUAGCCUGUUCUGUAAGUUUCCGGUUAAAUCCAUUAGCUCAACUAAUGGGCUGCCGAAAAUACUGCAGAACUAGGGAGUGGGAGAGGUAGACGGUACUCGGUAGGAAGGGGUAAAAUCCUUUGAUCUAUUGAUGACCACCUGUGGCGAAGGCGGUCUACCAGAACACGUUCGACGGUGAGGGAUGAAAGCUGGGGGAGCAAACCGGAUUAGAUACCCGGGUAGUCCCAGCUGUAAACGAUGCAGACUCGGUGAUGCCCCUGGCUUGUGGCCAGUGCAGUGCCGCAGGGAAGCCGUUAAGUUUGCCGCCUGGAAGUACGUACGCAAGUAUG